rnacentral:tRNA from 3 species
GGUUUCGUGGCCGAGUGGCUAGGCUGAGCUCUGCAAAAGCUCCUACAGCGGUUCGAAUCCGCUCGAAACCUCGA